rnacentral:rRNA from 2 species
GGUUAAGUUACAAAGGGCGCACGGUGGAUGCCUUGGCACUAGGAGCCGAUGAAGGACGGAACUAAUACCGAUAUGCUUCGGGGAGCUAUAAGUAAGCUUUGAUCCGGAGAUUUCCGAAUGGGGGAACCCAGUACACAUCAGUGUAUUGCUUGUCAGUGAAUACAUAGCUGGCCGGCGGCAGACGCGGGGAACUGAAACAUCUCAGUACCCGCAGGAAGAGAAAGAAAACUCGAUUCCCAUAGUAGCGGCGAGCGAAGUGGGAAGAGCCCAAACCGAGAAGCUUGCUUCUCGGGGUUGUAGGACUGGACAUUGGAGUUACCAAAGUCCGACGUAGUCGAAGUCAGCUGGAAAGCUGCGCCACAGAAGGUGAAAGCCCUGUAAGCGAAACGUCGAACCCUCCGUCCAGGAUCCUGAGUACGGCGGAACACGUGAAAUUCCGUCGGAAUCCGGGAGGACCAUCUCCCAAGGCUAAAUACUCCCUAGUGACCGAUAGUGAACCAGUACCGUGAGGGAAAGGUGAAAAGCACCCCGGAAGGGGAGUGAAACAGUUCCUGAAACCGUGUGCCUACAAUUAGUCAAAGCCCGUUAACGGGUAAUGGCGUGCCUUUUGUAGAAUGAACCGGCGAGUUACGUUUGCUUGCGAGGUUAAGAUGAAAAGUCGGAGCCGUAGCGAAAGCGAGUCUGAACAGGGCGAAUGAGUAAGCAGAUGUAGACCCGAAACCAAGUGACCUACCCAUGACCAGGUUGAAGGUGUGGUGAAACACACUGGAGGACCGAACCCAUGUAUGUUGAAAAAUGCUGGGAUGAGUUGUGGGUAGCGGUGAAAUUCCAAACGAACUUGGAGAUAGCUGGUUCUCUCCGAAAUAGCUUUAGGGUUAGCCUCGGAGGAUGGAUCAUGGAGGUAGAGCACUGUUUGAACUAGGGGCCCAUCAAGGGUUACUGAAUUCAGAUAAACUCCGAAUACCAUCGAUCUUACUCCGGGAGUCAGACAGUGAGCGAUAAGGUCCAUUGUCGAAAGGGGAACAGCCCAGAUCACCAGUUAAGGUCCCUAAAUUUAUGCUAAGUGGAAAAGGAUGUGGCGUUGCACAGACAACUAGGAUGUUGGCUCAGAAGCAGCCACCAUUUAAAGAGUGCGUAAUAGCUCACUAGUCGAGUGGCACUGCGCCGAAAAUAUACCGGGGCUAAGCAUAAUACCGAAACUGUGGGUGCACCCGUAAGGGUGCGCGGUAGGAGAGCGUUCUAAGGGCGUUGAAGGUCGAUCGUGAGGACGGCUGGAGCGCUUAGAAGUGAGAAUGCCGGCAUGAGUAGCGAAAGAUCAGUGAGAAUCUGAUCCACCGUAUGACUAAGGUUUCCUGGGGAAGGCUCGUCCUCCCAGGGUUAGUCGGGAUCUAAGGCGAGGCCGAGAGGCGUAGUCGAUGACAAGCAGGUUGAGAUUCCUGCACUAGUUUAUUUUGUUUAAGCGAUGGAGGGACGCAGGAGGCUAAGGAAAGCGCACGGCUGGAAAUGUGCGCCCAAGCAACAAGUCUGACAGCGAGUGAAAUGCUUGCAGUCUUAAGGACAAGCUGUGAUGGGGAGCGAAAUUAUAGUAGCGAAGUUCCUGAUGUCACACUGCCAAGAAAAGCUUCUAGUGAGAAAUAAACUACCCGUACCGCAAACCGACACAGGUAGUCGAGGAGAGUAUCCUCAGGUGAGCGAGCGAACUCUCGUUUAAGGAACUCGGCAAAAUGACCCCGUAACUUCGGAAGAAGGGGUGCUGACCGCAAGGUCAGCCGCAGUGAAUAGGCCCAAACAACUGUUUAUCAAAAACACAGGUCUCUGCUAAAUCGUAAGAUGAUGUAUAGGGGCUGACGCCUGCCCGGUGCUGGAAGGUUAAGAGGAUGAGUUAGCGCAAGCGAAGCCCAGAAUUGAAGCCCCAGUAAACGGCGGCCGUAACUAUAACGGUCCUAAGGUAGCGAAAUUCCUUGUCGGGUAAGUUCCGACCCGCACGAAAGGCGUAAUGAUUUGGGCACUGUCUCAACGAGAGACUCGGUGAAAUUAUAGUACCCGUGAAGAUGCGGGUUACCCGCGACAGGACGGAAAGACCCCAUGGAGCUUUACUGUAGCUUGAUAUUGAGUGUUUGUACCGCUUGUACAGGAUAGGUAGGAGCCGUAGAGAUCGGAACGCUAGUUUCGAUGGAGGCGUUGGUGGGAUACUACCCUAGCUGUAUGAACACUCUAACCCGCGCCACUAAUCGUGGCGGGAGACAGUGUCAGGUAGGCAGUUUGACUGGGGCGGUCGCCUCCUAAAAUGUAACGGAGGCGCCCAAAGGUUCCCUCAGAAUGGUUGGAAAUCAUUCGCAGAGUGUAAAGGUAUAAGGGAGCUUGACUGCGAGACUGACAAGUCGAGCAGGGACGAAAGUCGGGCUUAGUGAUCCGGUGGUUCCGUAUGGAAGGGCCAUCGCUCAACGGAUAAAAGCUACCCUGGGGAUAACAGGCUUAUCUCCCCCAAGAGUCCACAUCGACGGGGAGGUUUGGCACCUCGAUGUCGGCUCAUCGCAUCCUGGGGCUGUAGUCGGUCCCAAGGGUUGGGCUGUUCGCCCAUUAAAGCGGUACGCGAGCUGGGUUCAGAACGUCGUGAGACAGUUCGGUCCCUAUCCGUCGCGGGCGCAGGAAAUUUGAGAGGAGCUGUCCUUAGUACGAGAGGACCGGGAUGGACGUUCCGCUGGUGUACCAGUUGUGCCGCCAGGCGCAUCGCUGGGUAGCUAUGAACGGCAGGGAUAAACGCUGAAAGCAUCUAAGUGUGAAGCCCCCCUCGAGAUGAGAUUUCCCAUUCCUAUAUGGAAGUAAGACCCCUGAGAGAUGAUCAGGUAGAUAGGCUGGAAGUGGAAGUGCAGCGAUGCAUGGAGCGGACCAGUACUAAUCGGUCGAGGACUUAACCAA